rnacentral:misc_RNA from 1 species
GAUGAAGAACGUAGCGAAAUGCGAUACUUGGUGUGAAUUGCAGAAUCCCGUGAACCAUCGAGUCUUUGAACGCAAGUUGUGCCCGAAGCCACUAGGCCGAGGGCACGCCUGCCUGGGCGUCACACGCCGUUGCCCCCCCAUCUACUCCUUCGGGAUUGCGGGGGGGCGGAUGAUGGCCUCCUGUGCGCCUAGCCGCGCGGUUGGCAUAAAUACCAAGUCCUCGGCGACGCACGCCACGACAAUCGGUGGUUGCGAAACCUCGGUUGCCCGUCGUGUGCGUUCGUCGCGCAUCGAGGGCUCGAAAAAAUGCUCGGCUCCGGCUGGGCUUUCAACGCGACCCCAGGUCAGGCGGGGUUACCCGCUGAAUUUAAGCAUAUCAAUAAGCGGAGGA